rnacentral:rRNA from 1 species
CUAGCGGAUGAGCUGUGGAUAGGGGUGAAAGGCUAAACAAACUUGGAAAUAGCUGGUUCUCUCCGAAAACUAUUUAGGUAGUGCCUCAAGUAUUACCGUCGGGGUAGAGCACUGUUUUGGCUAGGGGGUCAUGGCGACUUACCAAACCAAUGCAAACUCCGAAUACCGACGAGUACAGCUUGGGAGACAGAGCACCGGGUGCUAACGUCCGGACUCAAGAGGGAAACAACCCAGACCGCCAGCUAAGGUCCCCAAGCCAUGGUUAAGUGGAAAACGAAGUGGGAAGGCAUAGACAGUCAGGAAGUUGGCUUAGAAGCAGCCAUCCUUCAAAGAAAGCGUAAUAGCUCACUGAUCGAGUCGUCCUGCGCGGAAGAUGUAACGGGGGCUCAAACCAUGCACCGAAGCUGCGGAUGUGCGUAAGCACAUGGUAGGGGAGCGUUCUGUAGGUCUGCGAAGGUGUGGGGUAACCCAUGCUGGAGAUAUCAGAAGUGCGAAUGCUGACAUGAGUAGCGAU